AACGGCCAUACCGUGGUGAAUAUACCGGUUCUCGUUAGAUCACCGAAGUCAAGCAUCAUUUUGCCCGGUCAGUACUUGGGUGGGUGACCACCUGGCUCGAACACCGCGUGCCGGA
rnacentral:rRNA from 1 species